rnacentral:lncRNA from 1 species
UAUUUCCCUCUCCUUCACAUUUCCACCCAUAACUUCACUAUUGUAAUAGAAGCUGCUCAAUCAAUCAAGUGCAGCAUUAUAGUUCUUCUUUCUACAGAUCAUGUUGUUACUGUACGUUUCUCUCUUCUUUGAUGACGGAUGGUAAUUUCCCUACUUUUUCUACACCUUCGUUUGGGAAACUGGAGAAACAGUUCGAAGAAUUUCGACAUCGUUUGGAGGAGUUGGGGAGUCUAUG